UACGUAGGGGGCAAGCGUUGUCCGGAAUCAUUGGGCGUAAAGCGCGUGUAGGCGGCCAGGUAAGUCCGUUCUGAAAGCCCGGGGCUCAACCCCGGGAGGCGGAUGGAUACUGCUUGGCUCGAGUCCGGAAGAGGCGAGUGGAAUUCCCGGUGUAGCGGUGAAAUGCGCAGAUAUCGGGAGGAACACCAAUGGCGAAGGCAGCUCGCUGGGACGGUACUGACGCUGAGACGACGAAAGCGUGGGGAGCAAACAGGGAUUAAGAAACCCCGGUAGC
rnacentral:rRNA from 1 species